UACGAAGGGGGCUAGCGUUGCUCGGAAUCACUGGGCGUAAAGCGCACGUAGGCGGCUUUCUAAGUCAGGGGUGAAAUCCUGGAGCUCAACUCCAGAACUGCCUUUGAUACUGGAGAGCUUGAGUCCGGAAGAGGUGAGUGGAACUCCGAGUGUAGAGGUGAAAUUCGUAGAUAUUCGGAAGAACACCAGUGGCGAAGGCGGCUCACUGGUCCGGUACUGACGCUGAUGUGCGAAAGCGUGGGGAGUAAACAGG
rnacentral:rRNA from 1 species